AACGAACGCUGGCGGCAGGCUUAACACAUGCAAGUCGAGCGCAUCCUUCGGGGUGAGCGGCGGACGGGUGAGUAACGCGUGGGAACGUGCCCUCUUCUACGGAAUAGCCUCGGGAAACUGAGAGUAAUGCCGUAUACGCCCGCAAGGGGAAAGAUUUAUCGGAGGAGGAUCGGCCCGCGUUGGAUUAGGUAGUUGGUGGGGUAACGGCCUACCAAGCCGACAAUCCAUAGCUGGUUUGAGAGGAUGAUCAGCCACACUGGGACUGAGACACGGCCCAGACUCCUACGGGAGGCAGCAGUGGGGAAUCUUGGACAAUGGGGGCAACCCUGAUCCAGCCAUGCCGCGUGAUCGAUGAAGGCCUUAGGGUUGUAAAGAUCUUUCAGCUGGGAAGAUAAUGACGGUACCAGCAGAAGAAGCCCCGGCUAACUCCGUG
rnacentral:rRNA from 1 species